rnacentral:rRNA from 1 species
UACGAAGGGGGCUAGCGUUGCUCGGAAUCACUGGGCGUAAAGGGUGCGUAGGCGGGUUUUUAAGUCAGAGGUGAAAUCCUGGAGCUCAACUCCAGAACUGCCUUUGAUACUGAGAAUCUUGAGUUCGGGAGAGGUGAGUGGAACUGCGAGUGUAGAGGUGAAAUUCGUAGAUAUUCGCAAGAACACCAGUGGCGAAGGCGGCUCACUGGCCCGUUACUGACGCUGAGGCACGAAAGCGUGGGGAGCAAACAGG